rfam:Triticum aestivum genome assembly, contig: Triticum_aestivum_CS42_TGACv1_scaffold_131855_2BL
AUUGUACUCCCUCCGUCCGGAAAUACUUGUCAUUGAAAUGGAUGUAUGUAGAUGUAUUUUAGUUCUAGAUACAUCAAUUUUCAUCCAUUUUGGAGACAAGUAAUUCCGGACUGAGCGAGUAACAG